AAGCACUGCCUUUGAACCUGAUGUGUCUUGUUUGUAGCUUCACGGGCCAAGCAACAGUGCUAGAGCGUAAGGACUUGUUAUAACUGGGGCUCUUCAGCUCUCAACUGAACUGCUCUUUUAAAAACAAGGUACAUUU
ensembl:snoRNA small nucleolar RNA, H/ACA box 50A